GGCUGCCUCGAACUCUUCUUCUACUCCCCUCCAUGUGCCCUCACCGCCGCUCCCCUUCCUCAGGCUGCCGCUCCUGCAGGGUCUAUGGAAGUAAUGGAAGCACCUCUCAACCUGGCUCAUCAGCAGAGCAGAUGAGCAGACCAUUUAUUAGCUGCAGGGAAAUACGAAGAGGCUAUUUCUUAUCACAAGAAGGCUGCGGCAUAUCUUUCUGAUGCUAUGAAGCUGACCAAGUUAUUUAUCACUGGAAUUACAAAGGGAUAGCCACAUGACAGCUCCUCCUCAUCCAGGAGAGGUGGAAAAGGGCAAAGCGUGAAGAACGAUCAAAAGCUCAGAACACAGACAAGGAUGUAGCUACCCACCUUCAGUCAUCUCACAAACCCUCUGCUGAGGAUGCAG
rnacentral:lncRNA from 1 species